GACGAACCGUGCGAACGUUGUUCGGAUUCACUGGGCUUAAAGGGCGCGUAGGCGGCUGGCCAAGUCAGGGGUGAAAUCUUUUCGGCUCAACCGGAAAACAGCCUUUGAUACUGGCCGGCUGGAGGGGCGUAGGGGCAGACGGAACUUCCGGUGGAGCGGUGAAAUGCGUAGAUAUCAGGAGGAACACCGGUGGCGAAGGCGGGGUCUCUGGGCAGUAACUGACGCUGGAGGAGCGAAAGCGUGGGGAGCGAACAGG
rnacentral:rRNA from 1 species